UACGUAGGGGGGCUAGCGUUGUCCGGAUUUAUUGGGCGUAAAGAGCGUGUAGGCGGCCAGGUAGGUCCGGUGUGAAAACUCGAGGCUUAACCUCGAGAUGUCAUCGGAAACCAUCUGGCUAGAGUCCGGAAGAGGAAAGUGGAAUUCCUGGUGUAGCGGUGAAAUGCGCAGAUAUCAGGAAGAACACCAAUGGCGAAGGCGGCUUACUGGUCCGGUUCUGACGCUGAGGCGCGAAAGCGUGGGGAGCGAACAGG
rnacentral:rRNA from 1 species